UAAACUUUUGUGUAAUACGCGUCAUCUACGCAAACUAGGUGACGACACGUGUAAUCUAUACCCUUCUCCCUUUUCAAAAAAUCUCUCUCUCUCUCUCUCUAAAGUCUAUGACCCUUGUUUCUCUCUAGCUGCCAUUGAUCGAAGUAUCGAACCCUAACUCACAGACCUUACUAUUAUUGGAUCCUCCUUAAAGCUCCGUGUCGCGUCCUCCUUUGCUCUUUGGUUCUUUCCUUCUGGGUUUAUUGCAAGAAGAAGAAGAAGCGAUGGAUUUGUGAAUUUUAGUGAUAAUCGCGUCGGUUUGUUGUAUAUUAGCAAAGUUCGUAGCUUUUUCUCGAAAUCCUUGAAAGAUGUCAUCAGCUGAUGUUACGUUAAGCCCGGUUCGUAACGAGCCAUCGAUGAUGCCUCUCGUCCAUGCCAAUUCCUGUGCUGAUUCCCUCCCUGACGAGACCAUUUUGAUCUACCUGACACUCCCCGGAACUCUUAUACCAAUGCGAGUGCUCGAAUCCGAUUCCAUCGAGUCCGUUAAGCUCCGGAUCCAGUCUUACCGUGGGUUUGUAGUGAGGAACCAGAAGCUCGUUUUCGGUGGGCGAGAGCUAGCGAGGAGUAACUCCAACAUGCGUGACUACGGUGUGAGUGAUGGCAACGUUCUUCAUUUGGUUGUCAAGGUCUCUGAUCUCCAGGUUCUUGAUGUGAAGACCACUUGUGGGAAGCACUGCAGGUUUCACGUUGAGAGAGGGAGGAACAUUGGGUAUGUGAAGAAGCAGAUUUCAAAGCAGAAAGGUGGGGACUUUGUUGAUUCCGAGGUGCUUUAUGAAGGUGAGAAGCUUGAGGACCAGAGUCUUGUUAACGACAUUUGUAGGAACAGUGACGCUGUUUUGCAUUUGCUUGUGAGGAGAUCUGCUAAAGUUAGGGCUAAGCCUGUGGAGAAGAACUUUGAGUUGUCUAUUGUUGCUCCUCCGCGAGUUGAUGAUGUCAAGAGAGUUAUUGAAGCUGAUGAUGGUAUUGUGCAGCCAAGGAAGCAGCUUUUGAAUGACUUCUCUUUGGAGCCGGUUAUAGUUAAUCCCAAGGCGGAGUUGCCUGAAGUGGUUAAAGAUAUGGUUAGCUCUGCUUCUGAUGGACUGAGAAGUGGGAAUCCUCCUGUGAGGUCAAGAGAGGGGACGGGAGGUGCUUAUUUCAUGCAGGGGUCUUCCGGGAACAAAUAUGUUGGUGUGUUUAAGCCUCUCGAUGAGGAACCAACGGCUGAGAACAAUCCACACGGACUGCCACUUUCGCCAAAUGGAGAAGGUUUGAAGAAAGGAACAAAGGUUGGAGAAGGUGCGUUGAGGGAAGUUGCUGCUUACAUAUUGGAUCAUCCCAAGAGUGGACGCCGAUAUAUGUGUGGUGAAGAGAUGGGUUUUGCCGGUGUGCCUCCCACGACUAUGAUUGAAUGUCUGCAUCCUGGUUUUAACCAUCCCAAUGGAAUCAAAACCAAGAUCGGAUCACUUCAGAUGUUUACCGAGAAUGAUGGCAGCUGUGAGGAUAUGGGUCCAGCUUCAUUUCCAGUAGAGGAAGUUCACAAGAUAUCUGUUCUGGAUAUUAGACUGGCCAAUGCAGAUAGGCAUGGUGGUAACAUUUUAAUGAGAAAGGACGAGAACGGAAAGAUUGUUCUGAUUCCAAUUGAUCAUGGAUACAGCUUGCCUGAAAGCUUUGAGGAUUGCACGUUCGAGUGGCUUUACUGGUCACAAGCUCGGAAACCAUACUCUUCCGAGACACUGGACUACAUAAGAUCACUGGACGCAGAGGAAGAUAUCAGCCUCCUCAAGUUCCAUGGAUGGAAGAUGCCAUUGGAAACCGCUAGAACACUCAGAAUCUCAACGAUGCUACUGAAGAAAGGAGCAGAAAGAGGGUUGACAGCGUUUGAGAUUGGGAACAUGAUGUGCAGAGAAACUCUGACCAAGAAAUCUCUAGUGGAGGAAAUGGUAGAGGAAGCUGAAGAAGCGGUGCUUCCCGAGACGAGCGAGGCUACAUUCAUGGAAGCCUUGUCUGAUGUGAUGGAUUAUCAUCUUGAUGAGGUGGUUCAUGUGUGAAUCGUUCUCUUAACUUGAAACUAUGGGUACAUAUACUCUUCGUUUGCCUCCAUAUGAAUCUGGUGGCUUUUGUUAAUUUCUGUCAUUCUUUGGACAUGUGCAAGUUGCUUUUGUUGAUUUCACUGCGACAUAUUUCCUGGUAGAAAACCUGUGAAACUCGAAAUUUGUCACACUAGCCAACCGUACAACUGAUACACAGAACAUCACAAAAAAAGGCAAAUCAACGAGAGAAACAGGAGAAAGAGGCACAGAGAUAUAGCACAAACCAAUUCACUGUUAGAGUAGUUCAUAUAGAUUCUUCUUUUCAGAUGUUAACUGGGAAAUGACUGAUGAUCAAAGCUCACUUUGUUGAAGGCCUUGUGGACCAAAGCUUUCACCUAAUGAUCUCAGUACCUAAUGCCCUCGUGGUCAAAGGGUUGACCUACAAUACAACACGUGUGAAUGCUUUCAAAUCCACUAGUACGUGUGAAAUGUGAAGCGGCAACACGUUGUGCCACCCAGCUGAAACGUGGCAUAAUCUGUUUGUUUCAUCAUCCUUGUUUUAGUUGAUAAGUAUGAGAGAGAGAGAAGACAUGAAUGUUUGGGUGGUAAGAAAGAUGGAGAAGAAGAGUAAGGAGAAAGGAGAAGCUGAGAAAACAAGACAAGAAGAAGAAGAAGAAGAAGAAGAAAGAAAGAAAAACAAAGAGAAAAAAGAUGGGGGAGAGAGUAACAGUGAAGGGUCUUCCACACGAGCAAGUGCCUCAGCCCGGCAGAGAUUUCUCCAGCGAAGCUCUCGAGAAUCUCCCAAAUCCCAAGUGAAGUGAAGUAAAGUGUUUGUUUCGAGCUCGUGUAAAAAGUUUAUUUUCUCUAGUGAAAGUUUGCUCAACCAUAAUGAGCUGCACCACCUUGAUACUAACACAGUCUCUCUCUCUUCUUUGAUCACGUUUGUUUGGGGAUGUGUAUAUCAGAACAUGCGAGAGAGCAAAGAGAUGGUAGGAGUGUGAACGUUGCUUCCACAUGAUUAAUGGUUCAUAUGCUCUUUCUCGAGUGAAAGAAAUAAUCAAUGGUUUUCAUUCAUAAAUACUUGAGAUGUUGGAUCCCAAUACCAAGGUACUCGUCUGAAUUAAGUUGAAGUAUUGUAACAGCUACAAUUAAUGCCACUAAUCUUGACAAAACA